rnacentral:rRNA from 1 species
AGAGUUUGAUCAUGGCUCAGAUUGAACGCUGGCGGCAUGCUUUACACAUGCAAGUCGGACGGCAGCACAGAGAAGCUUGCUUCUUGGGUGGCGAGUGGCGAACGGGUGAGUAACAUAUCGGAACGUACCGAGUAAUGGGGGAUAACUAAUCGAAAGAUUAGCUAAUACCGCAUAUUCUCUGAGGAGGAAAGCAGGGGACCUUCGGGCCUUGCGUUAUUCGAGCGGCCGAUAUCUGAUUAGCUAGUUGGUGGGGUAAAGGCCUACCAAGGCGACGAUCAGUAGCGGGUCUGAGAGGAUGAUCCGCCACACUGGGAUUGAGACACGGCCCAGACUCCUACGGGAGGCAGCAGUGGGGAAUUUUGGACAAUGGGCGCAAUCCUGAUCCAGCCAUGCCGCGUGUCUGAAGAAGGCCUUCGGGUUGUAAAGGACUUUUGUCAGGGAAGAAAAGGCUGUUGCUAAUACCGACAGCUGAUGACGGUACCUGAAGAAUAAGCACCGGCUAACUACGUGCCAGCAGCCGCGGUAAUACGUAGGGUGCGAGCGUUAAUCGGAAUUACUGGGCGUAAAGCGAGCGCAGACGGUUACUUAAGCAGGAUGUGAAAUCCCCGGGCUCAACCUGGGAACUGCGUUCUGAACUGGGUGACUAGAGUGUGUCAGAGGGAGGUAGAAUUCCACGUGUAGCAGUGAAAUGCGUAGAGAUGUGGAGGAAUACCGAUGGCGAAGGCAGCCUCCUGGGAUAACACUGACGUUCAUGCUCGAAAGCGUGGGUAGCAAACAGGAUUAGAUACCCUGGUAGUCCAA